GAGGCAAUCAUGAGAAUUUUUCUAGAAUCAUCUCUUUAUUGCUGUCUGCCCAGAACAAUCUAAACCGGUAGUGGGAAGAGAAUCAGUGUAGGAAGACAAUAUUGACAAGGCCAAACAACGACGUGGUGACUCACUGAGUCCUUGCACUCUCGAGGGAAACAACUACCUUAGAAAAAGCCAUGCACUUUCGGCGGGGGCUUAACCAUGUUAGUUCUACGCACAGCCAAAGUACAGGUUCCACUUCCUUUAGGAAGCCUUCUCGAAGGACUCCAUGCCUCACUGAUCUUCCUCCUCACUGAAGGCCACAGACCAAGAACCUAUAGUGUCCUCUUCAGGAACCGGCACAGUCCCAAAGUCCACAGAACUCAAAAGAAUGCUGGUAGAUUGGUUUGCUCUACUAUCAUCUCAACAGUGCUUUCCUCGGGUGUAGCGUGAUGCAUUCUAACAUAAUUAAAAUAACAUGUUAGAAAUGUUGCUGAUGGGGGUGCUGGGGCAAUGACUUCUUUCAAAGUCUUCCCUCUAUUACUUCGCUCAUGGAAAUGAGUCUCAUGGGAAGCUAUGUCUUAGCUGAAAGCCUGUCUUCAAAGUCCUUUAUCAAGGAAGUUUUCUGUUAUGAAUAAAUUAGUAUCACAAGUAA